rnacentral:rRNA from 1 species
UAGGGAAUAUUGGUCAAUGGAUGCAAGUCUGAACCAGCCAUGCCGCGUGCAGGAAGAAGGCCUUCUGGGUUGUAAACUGCUUUUGUCAGGGGAUAAAAAUUCCAUGCGUGGAAGAUUGAAGGUACCUGGCGAAUAAGCCACGGCUAACUACGUGCCAGCAGCCGCGGUAAUACGUAGGUGGCAAGCGUUGUCCGGAUUUAUUGGGUUUAAAGGGUGCGUAGGCGGCCUUGUAAGUCAGUGGUGAAAUACUCCAGCUUAACUGGAGGGGUGCCAAUGAUACUGCAGGGCUUGAGUACAGAUGAGGUAGGCGGAAUUGACGGUGUAGCGGUGAAAUGCAUAGAUAUCGUCAAGAACACCUAUAGCGAAGGCAGCUUACUGGGCUGUAACUGACGCUGAGGCACGAAAGUGUGGGGAUCAAACAGG